rnacentral:rRNA from 1 species
CNCCGUAAACGCUGAGUGCUAGGUGUUAGGUCCUUUCCGGGACUUAGUGCNGACGCUAACGCAUUAAGCACUCCGCCUGGGGAGUACGACCGCAAGGUUGAAACUCAAAGGAAUUGACGGGGGCCCGCACAAGCGGUGGAGCAUGUGGUUUAAUUCGAAGCAACGCGAAGAACCUUACCAGGUCUUGACAUCCCGAUGCCCGCUCUAGAGAUAGAGUUUUACUUUUUGUACAUCGGAGACAGGUGGUGCAUGGUUGUCGUCAGCUCGUGUCGUGAGAUGUUGGGUUAAGUCCCGCAACGAGCGCAACCCUUAUUGUUAGUUGCCAUCAUUAAGUUGGGCACUCUAGCGAGACUGCCGGUAAUAAACCGGAGGAAGGUGGGGAUGACGUCAAAUCAUCAUGCCCCUUAUGACCUGGGCUACACACGUGCUACAAUGGUUGGUACAACGAGUCGCAAGCCGGUGACGGCAAGCUAAUCUCUGAAAGCCAAUCUCAGUUCGGAUUGUAGGCUGCAACUCGCCUACAUGAAGUCGGAAUCGCUAGUAAUCGCGGAUCAGCACGCCGCGGUGAAUACGUUCCCGGGCCU